AGCAGUGAAAUUUCAGCAUGAUUCUGCUUCAGCUGAUUUUUAGCUCAUUCACAAAAACAAUCAAAACUGUUUAUUCGUCUUUAUUAUUGCAGAAAAUAACAACAGAGCGUGCAGAAGAGUACGAACUUGAACGGACUUGGAAAAUCAGACAGCGACAGGCUUGAAGAGUAAGAGUUCUAAUUAUGGAUGGGAAUAAUGUAGUCGGUGUCCAAAUGGAUACAGGUGAGGCUCAGGGAACAAACACAAAUACGCAGCUUCUAGAAGCAAUUCAAAAGUUAAGCAUAGUCAUCGAUGUCGGCAACAAAAAAUUGAUUGACGCCAUUCAGGACUUAAGAAAAGAAGUGCUUAAAUUGGGAGAGACGGAUCCUUCCGGCGUUCAUUCUGUUAAACAAACGAAGGACUGAUGUGGUAAUGUCGGUCGACAUUGACAUAGACAGAAUGUCGAUUACUAGCCCGAAUCCACCCGAUGAACGUUAAUGAAAAAAUAAAUUGUUUUUUUUUUUAAAUUAUUUUUUUGUGUACAA